UAGGAUAUGUGUCGCCUAUGGUUAUGUC
rnacentral:sRNA from 1 species